rnacentral:rRNA from 1 species
UGGGGAAUAUUGCACAAUGGGCGAAAGCCUGAUGCAGCAACGCCGCGUGAGUGAUGAAGGCCUUCGGGUUGUAAAGCUCUGUCUUUUGGGACGAUAAUGAUGGUACCAAAGGAGGAAGCCACGGCUAACUACGUGCCAGCAGCCGCGGUAAUACGUAGGUGGCAAGCGUUGUCCGGAUUUACUGGGCGUAAAGGAUGCGUAGGCGGAUUUUUAAGUGAGAUGUGAAAACCCUAAGCUUAACUUGGGGACUGCAUUUCAUACUGGAAAUCUAGAGUGCGGGAGAGGAGAAUGGAAUUCCUAGUGUAGCGGUGAAAUGCGUAGAGAUUAGGAAGAACACCAGUGGCGAAGGCGAUUCUCUGGACCGUAACUGGCGCUGAGGCAUGAAAGCGUGGGUAGCAAACAGGAUUAGAUACCCUGGUAGUCCACGCCGUAAACGAUGAGUACUAGGUGUAGGAGGUAUCGACCCCUUCUGUGCCGCAGUUAACACAAUAAGUACUCCGCCUGGGAAGUACGAUCGCAAGAUUAAAACUCAAAGGAAUUGACGGGGUC